AAAAAAAAAAAAAAAAAAGAAUCAAAGCUUUAAAAUCCAGCAGAAGUAAAAUUUCCAAGUGGGAGGGAAGAGGAUCAACAGGAGAAUCUGCAAGAGUAAAAGAGGAAGAAGAUGUGUGCUGCAUGGCACAAAAUGAAUCUGCAAAGCAUCUGGGAACUGCAGACCCUACUGAUGCCUGGAACUCACUGGAGUCAGCAUGUCCAGGCAGUCAUUGUAGCAAGUCAGAGUGGUGUGAUGAAAUGCUUCAGGAGAAAAACAUUUCACCACAGCCUGGUUCACUCAGAUACCUUGCCAGGGAACCAACAUCUCACUCGGGCCUCUGAUAUUGUAACUGUGGGCCUUUAAGAAACAACGGAAAACCCAACUGAAUAAAAACUGACCUCCUUUGUGGCUGCCCUGAUGGAAGGGGCUCAGGAGCAACAGCCUUCAUGGUGCCCACCCUCUGGGCCAGAACAACGGAUGCCCCACAACUGAGUUUAGUGCCUCCAAGAACCACAGCUUUUUUUUGCAGCAGUAAGAGCAUACCUCUGAGGCACUGUGAAGAAUCUGAUAGUCGAACUGAAUGAAGCCAAGUCCAGUCUUUACGGAAAAAUUUACACAACACUUCCAGAUGAUAUCUGCAUACCAGCUGGGGAUAGAAUGUAAUCCGUCCUGCAGAAGUUAAACCAUGUGUCAUGUGAAGAGCAGGAGAUGAUUUCAGAGUUCGUGAUAUUUGUGCUAGAGCCAGUCAUUGGAGUCAGUUCAAGUUUGGAGAAAAUUUUCUUCCAAAUUAACAAGAGAGAAGGAAGAAGGAGAGAAGAAGAAAGAGGAAGGAAGAAAGGAA
rnacentral:lncRNA from 1 species